rnacentral:lncRNA from 1 species
AUGACUGCAGUGUUGGUGAAUCUCUGCUGGUCUGACCCACCACGGCCAGGGUAUCCCAGGCUAGCAUGUGGGCAAAGGGAUUUCCAAUGGCCUCAUUAUGCUGCCUUGGGGAGAGAGAAGGGAGCCCAGAGGAGACAGCCCAAAGUGCUACAGCUGGGCUAUGAGGGGAUCCCAUUUGUCUCAGAGAGGAUACCCCACCCCUCUGCAUCACAGAGGUGUCUGAGCCAGUCUGGGGUCCUUCUUCCCCUGAAGAGCAGCCACUGACAACAUCUGCUGCCCCUCCAGGGGGGAAGGUGGUUGUUCAGGUGAGUGGGCUCAGCCUCCCAUC